AUUGGUAUUAUGCGGCGUAUAGUUGAUGAAAACGAAGCCGCGCGUCUGGUCGAUGAUGUGAAACAGCGGAUUCCAGGUGAACAUUGGCAAGAGCAUGGCGGGCAUGGCAUUGGCCACGAACAUCUUGCCCGAAAAGAUCAUGUUCAUGCGCUG
rnacentral:ncRNA from 1 species